rnacentral:rRNA from 1 species
UACGUAGGGGGGCUAGCGUUGUCCGGAAUCAUUGGGCGUAAAGCGCGUGUAGGCGGCCCGAUAAGUCCGCUGUGAAAGUCCAGGGCUCAACCCUGGGAUGCCGGUGGAUACUGUCGGGCUCGAGUCCGGAAGAGGCGAGUGGAAUUCCUGGUGUAGCGGUGAAAUGCGCAGAUAUCAGGAGGAACACCGAUGGCGAAGGCAGCUCGCUGGGACGGUACUGACGCUGAGGCGCGAAAGCGUGGGGAGCGAACAGG